GGGUCAGUAGGUUGGUCGUGCCACCGGUACGUACUGGUCUCACUGAUUCCUCCUUCCUGAAGAACCGUAACGCCAUUAAUUUGGUGUUGCGGGGAAACAGGACUGUUACUUUGAAAAAAUUAGAGUGUUUAAAGCAAGCUAACGCUUGAAUACAUUAGCAUGGGAUAAUGAAAUAGGACGAUCGAUCCUAUUUUGUUGGUUUCUAGGAUUGACGUA
rnacentral:rRNA from 1 species